CGACGAACGACAAACAACUGAGCGUCGAUAAGACGAUCGACUAGUGGGCCUCGAAAGGAAGCCAUACAAGCGCACACACGUCCGAGCUCAGGAACAGAGUGGUUACCUCCAUGGAGAGAGUCUGAAGAUGGUAGACAGUCUGGAGGCCUUGGGAGGUGAAGUACUCAAUGAAGUUCUGACAGCCCAGACUGAUACUCACCCAUAUGAGGUAUGGAGGUGGGGGCAGUGUGGUGUUGCUGGGGCUGCUGCCCCACCAGCUGGUUGACUGAGGGCGGUUUGCUGAGGCC